rnacentral:lncRNA from 1 species
CCGCACCGCUUUUAGACUCUCAUUGACUUGUCCCGCGCUAGUGUUGCAGAACUCUCACCGAUCCUAUCCCGCCCCGCGCUACUCAUCGGCCUGUACUGGUGCAACCCGCACUACCCCUACAAAAACUCUGUACUCAUUCAUACCGCUCCGUUCCGCUUCGCUUCGCACUUGGCCUUUUUCAGGCACUUCAAAGUUAUGAGUCACAAGCCCCAACAAACUCCACCUUGACGAAUAAGCUCG